AAAAAUAAUAAAAUUGCACUAUUAACUUGGUUAAUUAAUAAGAGAAAAAAAAUAUGUAUUAAACUUACAAACUUGUUUGAAAAGAUAGGAAUUUUUUUUUUUUUUUUGGGUAAAAUCAUGCUCUCUUUGUAAAUGUAUCAUUCAUGAUUUUUGAUUGAGCUGAACAAAGAAGAAAUGAUCAGUUAAGUUUAAAAAAAAAAAAAGGAUGAUACUGAUUAAUAAUAAAAAAACGAAAAGGAAAAGAAAUGAUAACUUUAUUGUUGCCACUCUCCUUCUAACACGUACCCAACACCCCAUCAUCUUCGGCUACUUUACUUUAUGUAAAUGUUUUUCCAUUUCAAACCCAUUUAUAAAUCAUUUAUAAUUCACUUUUUCCCCCAUGAUCUAACAACCCACAAAUUAAUAUUCAGACAUUUGAGGCUGCUCAGUUCAGGUACGUACCAUCAUCGAUCUCUUUUUUUUUUGGGUAAAUGGUAAGCUCUCAUCGAUCUCUUUCAUUCUUGAUCCAGUCUAUAAAAUUUUUGUUUUUCUAGUUUUGAGGACGAUGUGAUCCAAACGGUCGCCUUAUAUAGUUCUUAUGUAAUGUUAUUAGAUGAAAUUGUUGCUACAUGGUAAUUUUUUUUGCUUCCAAUUUUUUGUUUUCUGUUUGCGUUUGUUUUCCUAAAGGACCUAAACCAUAUUUUCCCUCUCACAAGAUGGACCUAUUCUGUUCUGGUAAAUUUUGUUUCUACUACUAUGUUCUCAUACCUGUUAGCUUUUUUUUUUUUUUUUUCAUUCCCAAGAACGCCGCUAUUGGAAUAGCUUUCCUGGCUCUAUUUUCUGUUACUCCGCCCAUUUCAUAAAGUAUUCGGUUUAACAACAGCUACACAAAAUUCAGGGGAAAGGAUUUGUCUGCGAUUUCAACUUAGGGGACAUAGUGUAAAAAAUAAAAUAAAAAAUUAACAUGACAAAAAUAGGUUGUUCAAAUCAAGUAGCAAAAAGAAGAUUUUUAGAAAGUAUAAAAGAAAAAAAAUAAUAAUAAAAAAAAAAGGAAAGAAAAACGAAAUCUUUGAUUGGAAAAAAAUUGGAGUUUGAUUAGAGAAGAAAAUUUUAACUUUUUUUAAGGAAAUCAAAGGGAUUUGAAAAAAAAAAAAAAAAACGUAACAGAUAAUUUACAACAUUACAUACCUUACGUAUCAAUUUUCAAUGUCACUAAUGUUACUAAUUUCACCAAGUCACAGUGCAAAAAUGGUUUUAAUUUCUAUUAAAAAAAAACACGUCUAUAUAAUGCAGGAGUGGGUAUUAAGAUGACAAAAACUCUUCCAAUUAAGGAACCUGCUUUUUAUUCUAACGAUAUCUAAACGUCUUCCAAUUAAAGACUUUUGAAACCCUACUAAGCAAAGGUGAGAAAUCAAUUUCUCACUUGAAGUAAAAAAUAUGUCAUUAAAUUGAUAUUUCUAUAUGAGACAGGGAAGCUAGCUAGCUGAUUUGAUAUGUCCCCGAAGACCCAAAGUCGUCCAACAUUUUGAGCAGUCUUUGAAGGACAAAUUAAAAAACAAUUGAAGACUUUUCCUUGGUAAAUUUGUAGCACUGGCCCCGCCAAUUAAAGAAUUUUGAAACCCUACUAAGCAAAGGUUACAUUCAUUAAAAUAUAAGCUGAAACUUCUUUUUUCUUUUUCAUUUUCAAAUGAUGGCGAGCAAUUCUUUACAAAGUCUAAGUCUGAAGGUGCUAGUGGAAAAAGAGAAAAAUCAAGUUGUUUUUGCCGAGUCCAAUAAGGAUUUUGUCGAUGUUCUCUUUAGCUUCAUGACUAUGCCUAUUGGAAUCAUUAUUAAACUCGCCCGCCAAUACUCACUAGAAGUGGACUUUGGUUGUUUGAACAACUUAUAUCAAAGUGUGGAGAAUCUUGACGAGGAACAUCUACGAAGUAUGAAGUGCAAGGACAUGUUACUUCAUCCUCCAAGUGCAGCUGAAAUCUACUGCAGGAAUCUAAAAUUGAAUGUGAUUGAUAGCGAUACAAAUGAGUACUAUACCUGCGGUGGGUAUCACAUUGUCAGUCCUUACCCCAAUUCGCGCUGCCAACAAUGUGGAAAUUUAAUGUAUUACGCUUGGAACCUGAAUGAUAGUAGUAUCUCUGUACAUCAAGAUAAAGGGGUGUUUGUGAAACCUACAACAAGAUUUAUCAUAACUGAUGACUUUCAUGUAAAGCCCAUGUCAACUAUCACAGGCUUAACCCUGCUAAGCAAGUUUGGAGCUACCGAUAGAAGCAUAAGAGAAGAAAGGACUUUACAGCCUAUAUAUUGACUCACACUACUAGGUCAUCAUGUGGCCUUAAACUGAUAAUUCAUUAUACUUGUGAAGAUAUGUGGAGAACUUUUAAUACAUAGUUGUUCCUGCUAAGAGCUUAAAUAUUUUUGGAACAAAUGGUUGUCUAACAUGGACUGCAAUUUUGAUUUUUGAGAGGUGUUGGUUCAUCACUCUGUUAAUGACACAGAAAUUCACAAUUUAGUAGGUUGGAUGUUGAGUAUGCUAUGUUUAUCAGUUUUACUUCACAUUAGUAGUUACAUUUACUAGUUUCCUAAUGAUCCAUUCAUAUGCGCAUUUCGAACUGUUGCAGGCUUUGCGUCUAUUGGAGGUUGCUUUGGUGUCGAAAACUGCUCUCACUGACGUUUUCAUAUGUGAGGAUCAAUCAAAGCAAAAACUCAAAGAGGAUUCAUACAAUUAAUGCAUAAAUGAAGAAGAAAAUCUACGAAACUCCUGUAAUGAGUGAACUUGGUCUCCAUCUUUUACCUUUGUGGCAUUUAUGUCAAGUGCUUUUUUUAUUUCAGUGUUCAUAUUUGUUAUCAACUAUAGACUCAAAUAUCAGUUGUAAUUAAGCUAUGCUGCUUUGUUUUGAUCACAUGUUGUUUAAACAUUUGGGACAAUUGAUACUUUAACAA